rnacentral:rRNA from 1 species
AGGACGAACGCUGGCGGCGUGCUUAACACAUGCAAGUCGAGCGGAAAGGCCCUUCGGGGUACUCGAGCGGCGAACGGGUGAGUAACACGUGAGCAACCUGCCCUUAGCUCCGGGAUAGCUCCGGGAAACCGGAAUUAAUACCGGAUAUGACCUAGGCCGACAUCGGCUGUGGUGGAAAGUUUUUCGGCUGGGGAUGGACUCGCGGCCUAUCAGCUUGUUGGUGGGGUAAUGGCCUACCAAGGCGACGACGGGUAGCCGGCCUGAGAGGGGCGAGUCGGCCGACACUGGGACUGAGACACGGCCCAGACUCCUACGGGAGGCAGCAGUGGGGAAUAUUGCACAAUGGGCGCAAGCCUGAUGCAGCGACGCCGCGUGGGGGAUGAAGGCCUUCGGGUUGUAAACCCCUUUCACCAGGAGCGAAUUCAGACGGUACCUGGGGAAGAAGCGCCGGCUAACUACGUGCCAGCAGCCGC